rnacentral:rRNA from 1 species
AAACUAACAAGGAUUCCCCUAGUAACGGCGAGUGAAGCGGGAAGAGCUCAAAUUUGUAAUCUGGCACUUUCAGUGUCCGAGUUGUAAUCUCGAGAAGUAUUUUCCGCGCCGGACCGCAUACAAGUCUGUUGGAAUACAGCGUCAUAGUGGUGAGAACCCCGUAACUGAUGCGGAUGCCCGGUGCUUUGUGAUAUACUUUCGAAGAGUCGAGUUGUUUGGGAAUGCAGCUCAAAUUGGGUGGUAAAUUCCAUCUAAAGCUAAAUAUUGGAGCAAGACCGAUAGCGAACAAGUACCGUGAGGGAAAGAUGAAAAGCACUUUGGAAAGAGAGUUAACAGUACGUGAAAUUGUUGGAAGGGAAACGCUUGAAGUCAGACUUGCUAUUCGGAGUUCAGCCGCAAGGUGUAUUCUUCGAUUUGCAGGCCAGCAUCAGUUUUUGGGGGUGGAAAAUCGUGGUUUGAAGGUAGCAGCUUCGGCUGUGUUAUAGCUUUCCACUGGAUUCAUCUUCGGGGACUGAGGAACGCAGUACGCUUUUUGCAAGGCUUUCGAGCUUUUCGUACUUAGGAUGCUGGUGGAAUGGCUUUAAACGACCCGUC